rnacentral:misc_RNA from 1 species
GAUGAAGAACGUAGUGAAAUGCGAUAAGUAGUGUGAAUUGCAGAAUUCAGUGAAUCAUCGAAUCUUUGAACGCACAUUGCGCCCCCUGGUAUUCCGGGGGGCAUGCCUGUUCGAGCGUCAUUUCACCACUCAAGCCUCGCUUGGUAUUGGGCAACGCGGUCCGCCGCGUGCCUCAAAUCGACCGGCUGGGUCUUCUGUCCCCUAAGCGUUGUGGAAACUAUUCGCUAAAGGGUGUUCGGGAGGCUACGCCGUAAAACAACAACAUUUCUAAGGUUGACCUCGGAUCAGGUAGGGAUACCCGCUGAACUUAAGCAUAUCAAUAAGCGGAGGA